ensembl:lncRNA
AACAACUUUUUAAAUAAUUCCAAAGAAAUCAAUAUAAAAUGACAUCCCCACAUAAGAAAUGAUAAAAUUUUAGAUUUACUCAUAAGCAAAAUACAUUUAGGAGAAAAUCUGUCAUCCGGUAAUCUUCAGGAUUGACAAACUAAGCAUCCCUUUAAAAAUGCUUUUUAAAAGUUUAUAUUAAUUAAAUGUAUUCAAGAGCAUUAUUUUAGUAAUGUGAUUAUACAGCUAUAAAAAUAUUAGUCAUCAUUAAAGAGAAUUUUCGUAGUUUUGACUAAGUUAGUUUUUCAACGAACGAUGCAUUGAUGAAUUGGCUUUUGAAAGGUUGACUUUCUUCUUUGUGUGGGAAAACCAGAGCCCACGAGGGCAGAAAAUAUGCAUGCUUAUCAUAGAACUGGGGAAGAACAACUGAGUACAAACCUAUUUACUUUCCUAGUGUAAUGUAUUGUCCAUGUUGCUUCUUACAGUGGUAAAAUAUGAGAAGAUAAUUUUUAGAUAACAGGAAUGAAUAAUUUCUAAAUUGGCAGCAGAGUCUAUGGAGACUUAAAGAGAAGUCGAGUCAAAUGAGAGAACAGAAACAGAACUCGUGGGUCAUCUGUCAGAUUUACUUACUUUAUAGAUUAGAAAUAAAUUAAUAAAUAUUAAUUUAAAUUUCGAAAGGGUGGCUCUUCCAAGGCCAAAUACUAAAUUUCUAUGGUCGGUUUCUCUCCCUUUAUCUCUCUCUCAUCCUCUGCCUCUACUUCAUCUAGGAUGUCAGGAUUCUCUUAGAGCUGACCUGAGUGGUAAAUAUUUGCUUAUCUUUCAUAUUUUGCCUAACAUCUAGGUUAAUGCUGCCAAUGUCAAGCUGGUUUUGGGGCGCCAGAUGUGUUCUCUUCCAAUAAAGUUUAGGAUGUUGCCAUAUAAAGCUGCUCUUUCUACACUGCCUGAUAUUUCAUCAUUAUCCUCCUCACUUCAAAAUCCGGGAAAGUGUCUGGUGGACCCUGAUAUAUCAGCAAAUCUGGUGAUUUACUUCCUGGGAUUAAAAUUUCAACAUAUACAUUUUGGAUAGAUGUGAAGAUUCAAUCUGUAACACCAGAAGAGAGAAAAACAGAAAGAAAAAGAGAAAACAAACCACAAGAUGAGCCCAUGACAGAAGACAUUUGUAGCAGGCACUGCAAUAUGCCACCAAAUCCCUUUUCAACAAAGGACCUGCUGCAGCCAUUGAGGAUGUUGAUGGUUACAGCUUACAGAUAGCAAGCUCUUUAGAGGUUACCUUGCCUGCAGAAAGAGGCAAUCUUUAAUCAAAGACAUCAAUGCAGAAAUAAAGGUGUAGGUUUCCAGCUAACUCAGGACGUCGCUGAAGAAUGAUUCUAGCUCCAAAUGCCGCACCACUGGGUAGUCUGAGGCCAUUUCUAGGUCUCUGCAGUUCAGCUUCUCCCUUUGUCCACUUAUGCUUACUUUCCUUUCCUUAGUUAAAUGCUGGUUACAAAUGCUUAAUAAAUACAUUGCCUAAAACCCUUCUUCUCAGAGCCUAAUUUCCCAGAAGUUAACCGGACACAAUAACAUUGUCAAUAAUAUUAAGUAACAUUAUACCCACUUUCACAAGCAAUGAAGAAAAUUAGUUUAGAGAAUUAAUUCUGAACCAUGGAUUUAUUCUAGAACAUAAGAACCAAGAACGACAUUCAGUAGGCAGAAAUGUGAAAAGAAGAAAAGUCACACACACGAAAAAACUGCAGAUGAAUCCUGGGAACAAUGUUAAAUGGGGUGGUGGGGAAUAUUUACUAGAGAGAGUGAGAGAUUGUAUGCUUGUGGUAGGCAGAAUAAUGGCUUCAAAGAUGUACAUGCCCUUAUCUCUGGAGCCUAUGAAUGUAACCUUACAUGAUGGUAAAGGGGUUUGCAGGUAGAUAGUUAAGUUUUGUGAGAUGGGGCAAUCAUUCUAGAUGACUUAGGUAAACCAUAUGUGGUCACAAACAUUCUUAAAGUGGAAGAGGGUGACAGAAAACUAGAGUCAGAGGGAAAUGUGAUGAAAAAGUAAAAGAGAGAUGCUACAUUGUUAGCUUUGAAGAUGGAUGAAGGUGGCCAUGAGACAAGGAAUGUGGGCGGUCCUAAAACUGAAAAGAAAAACAAAAAAAGAAGCAGAUUAUCCCCUAGAGUAACCAUAAAAGAAGACAGCACUGCUGAUACCUUCAUUUUUGCCCACUUUGUCAGACUUGAUGCAGAGAGCUACAAUAUAAUGAAUGUGUUGCUUUAAGCCACUAUGUUGAUGAUAAUUUUUUCAUGGCAGUUACAUGAAACUAAGCCAGUGCUGGCAUUAGCUGCAUGGCAGAUACAGGGAGGAUGAAUAAUGCAUUGGGCUUGUAGUACAGGGGCUGAUAAUCAGAAUUUUCAUCUACUACUUACAACUAUAUCCUUCAUAUGAUCACAUAGCCUAUCCGUACUCAAGUUUCCCCUCUGGAACCUGAAAAAGUAACUACCUUAAUAGAGCCUCCCAGAACAUCAACUAAGGAAUGAGAUAACAAUAAAUGAGUCAGGC